UACGUAGGGCGCAAGCGUUGUCCGGAAUUAUUGGGCGUAAAGAGCUCGUAGGUGGCUUGUCGCGUCUGCCGUGAAAGCCCAUGGCUUAACUGUGGGUCUGCGGUGGAUACGGGCUGGCUAGAGGUAGGUAGGGGCAAGCGGAAUUCCUGGUGUAGCGGUGAAAUGCGUAGAUAUCGCUUGGAACGCCAAAGGUGAAAACAGGUUGCUGGGGUUGUGCCGACGCUGAGACACGAAAGCCAGGGGAGCAAACGGG
rnacentral:rRNA from 1 species